GAAUAUGGCCGGGCAGAUAGUGUUCAUCUUCUGUCCUUCCGUCACACUUUGCAGUUAGCUCAGUUCAAAGCUCAGAUUCAAAGAAAUUAAGAUAUUUUCAUCAAACUUCAUAUGCUGUUACAUGUACAUAUUGAUGAGAGUCACUCAGGUGACCUAUUGCUGUCUGUUUUCGUCCGUCGACGUGCGUCACAACUUGAUGUACUGGCCCCGGGAUCAGGGGUUUUGGUUUCAAGAUGGGGCUCUAUUGAUUAUAUAGUGAAAAUGCAUUAAUUCUUUGAAAAUCUUCUCUCCUCCUAGGUAUUAAAUAAACCAACGAAGUACAUAGUUAUGAUGAGCAAGAGAAUGCCUCUACCAAUAUUAUAGAUUUUAUGACCCUAGGGUCAGGAGUUCUGGUGUAAGGGUGGGACUCUUUUGAUUAUAUAGUGAAAAUGCAUUAUGUCUUUGAAAAUCUUCUUUUCUGCUCCUAGGUAUUAACUGUGUGCAUAGUUAUGAUGAGCAAGAAUGCCUCUACCAAAAUUGUGAAUUUUAUGGCCUGAGGUUUAGAGGUUCUUGUGUUGGGGUGGGGCUGUACUGAUUAUAUAGUGAAAUGGAAAUAUAAGGAAUCACUGUCUAGUUAGUAGAGUAUACUAGAGACAUCAACGAUAUCGGAAAGAUGGGAUAAUUUAUGCAUAGCGGGCUUCGCCAAUUUUGAACUUUUAUCUUGAAUCAAUUUCUUUUGAUGGUGAGUUGAUGUAAUAGGAAUGUGUUUCAAGAGGCUGGCUGAAAAUUUUUAAAACUACAUGUACUGCCACUUAUCAAAUGGAGUGAGAUUUUAUAUGAAAGGAUCUAUACUUUUUUUUUUACUUAUUUCAUGUGUCAGGAUUUAAAGAAGACAAAAAUUUUAAAAGUUAUUGACAAUAUUCCAGGAAAUUGAUUUCUCUGUGGACACUGUCUUUAACAAAAAGUCAAUGAAUUUGAAAUCAAAUUCUUCAUUAAAAAAUAUCUGCUCACAUAUAACAUUCUUCAAUACUGGUGAAUUUUUAGAAUAUAUUUUUUUUUCUCCUUUAUUUUCCAAUAAAUAAUGUGUAAGCAGAUAUAUUGAUAUUGAUAUGAUUUGAUAUUUGUGUAAGGAUAUAGUUUAAAUACUUUUAAGAAUGUGUGUUGAGAAAUAAAAAAAAAUAUUGGUCAUUGUUGUCUUAAUGCAUUUAGGGGAUUUCAAUCACAGAAAAUGUGAUAUAAUUUUCGAAUAGGCAUAAACAUAUUGUUUUAUUUAAAAAUGAAAUCAUUUGGCAGGAUAUAUGUGUACAUUGUCUUAGUAUAUAAAUGAAAUAAUAUAUUUAUUUUGUCAACAUGCUAAAAGUAUCCUUAUUAUUUUUUUUCUGAACUUUAAAAAAUAUGGUUUAUGUUCAUAAGGCAUUGUGUCCAUAUGCAUUGAAGCUUUUGACACUUCUCUACAACCAUUAGAUAAUUUGUCAAUUUCAAUUUCUGUGUUUAAAUAAUGAGUAUGUGUGAUAUAUUAUUUUUAACAAUAUGCUUCAUGAACAUAACUCAGUUCUUUUUGUAAUUUUAAAAUAAUCUCUGAUUGUAAAAUGUUUAGUGUCUUGACCGUUACGAACAUAAUAGCUUUCAGUAUGAUUGCUAAAAUGACACCCAAUGAAUCAUAAGUUUGGCUCAGGAAGUCCGUAGCAGUGGUAAAAUUAUAAAUUGGAAACCAAAUUAGCAAGGUGGCGCAGCUAUCUGCUAGAAAUCAUGGCGAUGCUCAGUGUGCCCAUGUGUAAAAAAAAGUUACGUACAUAAUAGAUUCAGUAAGUAUAUUCAUAUUGUAUCAAUUUUAGUGAAUGUUUCACACAUCAUUGUGUCUUUAUACCAUGUAGAUAUUAAUCAGAAACUAAAAUAUGUAGCUUAUGACCAUACAAAAUCAUAUGUAUUGAUUACAUCAUGGUGUAUUUUGUUUUAUAUAUUUUUUUUUCUUUCAGAUGUACAAGAAAUGACUGAAUUAUGUUCGUAACAAUGACACAAAGAUCCACAAGACUCAAAAUAGAAGACCUGAUAAUUUAUUUGUCUGCAUUUAUUCUCCUUGAAAGCUAGUCUAUUAUUAAACUUUGAAAUGGUAUAUUAAAAGUAUUAAAAACAAGUGUUCGAUUGUCUUUUUAUUAUUUUCUUUUUGUUCUAUUUUAAAGCAUGAUUCAGAGUUAGGUGUCCAUGGUACUUACAUAAUUUCUCCUUUUUUGAAACUAGAAAUAAAAAUUGUGACUUUUUAAAUAAAUUCCUUUUAAUAUAACAUUAAACGGGAUCUCAUCAUACCUCAUUGAUUAUAUAAUUUUCAUAUUUUUACAUCUUGUUAAAUUCUAGUAACAUGGCACUUGUUUAGUGCUUAUGUAAGUAACGGUGCCCGUUGGUAAUCUUGAAUAUAUUUUCUGAUUAUAAUGGAUAUGGCAGAAAUAAGUCAUGCAAUAAAACAUGCAAACUAGACUUUAUAUACCUCAAAAAGGAUUCACCAGAAAAGAAUAGCUUAUUGAUUUAAAAAAUAGUCACUGUGGACACCAAGUUACGUACAUAAAAUUUCAGACAUGCUUGUACAUUUGGACACCUAUCUCCUCUUUAAAACUUCAGAUUAUCUUCCAAUUAUUUUUUUUCAGAAGCAGGAAAGUUACUGACUCAAUUAAUAUGCAUAAAUUUAUGAAAUUUAUUAUUUGUAAAAAUAGCCCUUUGGUCACACAUCUGAAUUCAGUACUGAAGAAUGAGUUAUAUGCAUAUGAUCUUAAAAUUUCUUAUUCUACAUGUUUUAGACUUUUCUUUGGAUAAAGCCUGGUUAAAUUUCUGAUUUUCUGAUAGGGAAUCAAUUUACAUACAAGGCACGUAAAUUAAAUUUUACUUUUAAAAUCAGCAUUAUCUUUGUUUCUUUUAUGAAUUCUACAAUCGGAAAUGGUCAGGAACCUUUUGGUUUAAAAAUAAAAUGAAAAUUCAGAGUUCCCCUUUAAAUUCAGGAAUCCCUCUGAAGAAGAUUAUUUUUUUUUAAAAAGUAAAAUAUCUUACUGGUAUGUAAAUUGAAUUCCUAUCAUGUCAUUUGAAUGAAGACAAGGGUAUAGCGUUUUCCAAUUAGUUGAUUUAAAACAUCUUUAAUGGCUGUCAUGAACAAGGGACUAAGUGGUUUUCAUAAAAUCCGAAUUUUAAUCUGAAACACUGUUGCUGUAACUAAUGAGAUUUUAUGGAAUUUAAUUAAAGUCCUAAUUAACUGUUGAAUUUAGUUACAUGUUUGCUGAGCUGGUGACCAGUUUACUUUAAUUCCAGUCAGUGCACCAGCCUAUGAAGUUAAAAUUACUUCUGAUCAGAGUGUGACUAAAAUCCUCAGAGAAAAAUUAAAUUUUUGUCUGAACUUUUGGAUCCUGUAUGAAAUUUGAAGAACGGUCUGAACCAUGAGAUAUUUUAACAAAACAUACUUUCUCCAUAGUGGUACCUUUAACUCCUAACUACCAAGUGAAUUAAAACUACUUUGAGUUUGUUUAUGAGGUCUCCUGUGUAUAACAUUAAGACGCCUCUAUGUAAUUGUAUAGUACUAUAAACUGGAGAGUGUUUUCUUUAUUUUCUCCUUAAUGUUCCCUUUAACUGAGAUGGUUCUUUGUGAUUUGGUGUGAAAUCAAACAACAUUUCUAUGUUAAUGUGUUGACACUGAGUUCACCAGUAAACCCCGUGUCUGACAGGGGGUUAUAUUGUACACACUGAUUAACUGUCUACGAUCCUCCUUAUUAAUUGACUUUCGGAUCACUUUUAAAACAUAUUAUUUUGUGCUCAGUAUCAUGGACCAGAGGAAAAUUCCAUUUCUUUAGGGUAAAAUUUUAUCUUUCUAAUGAGGUAAAUGAAUUGUAAAUUGUUUUUGAGCUGAAAUCAUUUUUACUUUCUUUGUAUUUUGCAAAAUGUUGGUAGAAAUUUCUCAGUAUUGUGUCUUCUCAUUAUAACAGUUUUUUAAUGACAUUUUUUCAAAACUGUUGCAUUGUGACGAUAGUUCUAAAAUAUUGUCUCUACGAAAUCAAUAUAAACAUGAUUGAUCAUCUUUUCUGCAUAGGUCAAAUUGUUGAGCCAACAGGUAAAAAUUAUUAAUUUAAAGGAGUGCAAGAGAUGUGGGCAACCUUUGCAUUAAUCCCAUUGUGUUGGAGAGACUAGAUUCCGACUCGCUCAAAUUCUCCAAGUGCAGUGUAGAUACCAAGAGUGUAGGCUACUUAAUGAUGUCCCAACAGACAAAAACAUCUAACAGAAAUGGGAGGAAAAGCCUGGGAUAUUAAUACGAAAGUAGCAGAAGGAAUUUCGGAGGAAGGUCUAAAGGAAAGUAAAAAGGAAGUUGGCAGUACACUGAGUAAAGUGGCAGAUGGAAGUUGUCGAACCAGCCUAUUAGAGGAAGUAGAAAAAGUGAAUAAAAGACUGACAAUGUCUCCUGGAAGAUACACCCUCAAGCAUUCCAGGAUCCUACAAAGCAGACUGAAGCUGAAGCGAUUACAACAAGCAAAGCGGAGCACAAAGUGGAGACGUUUAGAGCUGAAGUCAGAGAGGUCUGCAAAAGAUGCAUCACAAUCUGUUCUUUAUUGAUUGAUAAUAUGUUGUUUAUCGACCCUCUCGAGAAUUUUUCACUCAUAUUGAGAUUCCAAUCUGUUCUUUAAGCGGAUACAUACAGCAGCAAAAUUGGUUUGAGUGAUGAAGUUGAUUCUGACGACAUUUCCUUUGAAUAAAUUAGAUCAACUACCGAGAACCAAAAAAUUUUACGUGGUAUUUGACCUAGAGACUACUGGUUUAA